rnacentral:snoRNA from 1 species
AAGCCAGUCAAUGUCUCUGCUUACCUGAAUGUGUUUCUGCAGAAAUUUUGAAAUGGCUGGCAAUAGUAAAGCCAUGCUACAAGUCUUAAGGACACUGAAGUCAUUAAGGUCCCUGAAAAUGGCUAUAACA